GCAUAUCAAUAAGCGGAGGAAAAGAAACCAACAGGGAUUGCCCUAGUAACGGCGAGUGAAGCGGCAACAGCUCAAAUUUGAAAUCUGGCGUCUUUGGCGUCCGAGUUGUAAUUUGCAGAGGGCGCUUUGGCAUUGGCAGCGGUCCAAGUUCCUUGGAACAGGACGUCACAGAGGGUGAGAAUCCCGUACGUGGUCGCUAGCCUUUACCGUGUAAAGCCCCUUCGACGAGUCGAGUUGUUUGGGAAUGCAGCUCUAAAUGGGAGGUAAAUUUCUUCUAAAGCUAAAUACUGGCCAGAGACCGAUAGCGCACAAGUAGAGUGAUCGAAAGAUGAAAAGCACUUUGGAAAGAGAGUUAAAAAGCACGUGAAAUUGUUGAAAGGGAAGCGCUUGCAGCCAGACUUGCCUGUAGUUGCUCAUCUGGGUUUUUACCCAGUGCACUCUUCUAUAGGCAGGCCAGCAUCAGUUUGGGCGGUUGGAUAAAGGUCUCUGUCAUGUACCUCUCUUCGGGGAGAACUUAUAGGGGAGACGACAUGCAACCAGCCUGGACUGAGGUCCGCGCAUCUGCUAGGAUGCUGGCGUAAUGGCUGUAAGCGGCCCGUCUUGAAACACGGACCAAGGAGUCUAACAUCUAUGCGAGUGUUUGGGUGUCAAGCCCGAGCGCGUAAUGAAAGUGAACGGAGGUGGGAACCUUUCGGGGUGCACCAUCGACCGAUCCUGAUGUCUUCGGAUGGAUUUGAGUAAGAGCAUAGCUGUUGGGACCCGAAAGAUGGUGAACUAUGCUUGAAUAGGGUGAAGCCAGAGGAAACUCUGGUGGAGGCUCGCAGCGGUUCUGACGUGCAAAUCGAUCGUCAAAUUUGGGCAUAGGGGCGAAAGACUAAUCGAACUAUCUAGUAGCUGGUUCCUGCGA
rnacentral:rRNA from 1 species